UUUCAUCAGUUCAGAAAGGCUGAUAACCUGGACUUUUUCUGCCAAAUUACUAUCAACAAAGGUUGGGACUGAUAUAAACAUGACUACACAAAUGAAAAGAACAUUAGUACAUUAGUAAUUUUAAAAAUAAUGAUAAGGUUGCAUUAAAAGAUGACUGCACUGAAUAACACAAAGUAUAUAUCUGAAGAAUUAGAAAAGCAGCAACAAAGCAGGAGUUUUGGAGAGUCAAUGCAUGAUGAUCUCUGAAGAUUCUACUGAAAUCUAAUCAAUAUGUCCUCACUGCCAUCAAUUCAAAAGAACUUGCUAAGAAGGCUCUAGAGGCUUGUACUCUCAGAUAGUGAAAGUGAGAUGAUGUGUAGUGAAAGUCAUAUAUAGGUUGUAAAUUGCAAUAUGGAAUUCC
rnacentral:lncRNA from 1 species